UUACAGUAGUAACGACACUACAGUAGUAAGCUGGGAGACGGGUGGAAAGAAAUACCGGCUGGCAUCAUGCUACAUGCCGUAUGACGAGGUAGCAGUACCAUCGCAGCUGAUCAAAGGGCUGGUGCGAGACACCGAAGCAUCUAAGUGUUUGAUUAUAAGUGGGUGCGACUCCAAUGCAUACCACACACUAUGGAGCAGCACGGACAUCAAUGAAAGGGGACACCAGUGACCAGAAUACCAGCGCUUGUUCAAAUCAAUCUUUAGUAGAAAUCUGUAAAAGGUCCAGAGACCCUACGCUGGAAACAUAAUUUGAUGAAAUCAGAAGGUGACAUUAAGGAGCAACAAAUAAGCGCUGCGUGUUUAUGAUAUGAAAAGAUACAUUGUGUACAAAAAUCCGGCCUGCAAAGAUUAUUAAACGUACGAGAUACAAAUUGCCUUCCAGAUUUAAGAAAGCUUAUUGAUAGAAAAUAUACCGAGGCUACCGCAAUUGUUAAGGAUGUAUUCAAGAAUCAAUGAAUCAGAAAAGAUCAAUUAAUAACAUCGCAUUUACGAGUGACAUUGUUACAAUAACAAAUUCUACAAUUCCUUUUCAACAUUGACAGCGCACUUCUUGCAAUAUGAUAAGCUUGAAAGUGUUUGCUUAACUUAACGGCUUUGCGGAUACACGGGACGCAUACAUCAGAAUAUAUAAGCACUUCUAUCGUUGAAGCAUUAAAUGAAUUUGAAAUACCUAUCCAAAAAGAAGUUUCGAUCACUGCAGGCAAUGGUGCGAAUGUUGUAGCCGCUCUGAAAGGGUUAUUAGACACCGAGAAGAGCAUUCCAGACAUGGCGCAUUCCGGGCACAGCAUCCUGGCUGAAUUAAAGGCAUAUUCAACUCUUUUGAUGCAUUUCGAACUACGCAAAUAGAGGCCGGUGCACCAGAAGACUUGGUAAAAACAGUCGCACCGGAUAUACGCGUUGGAACUUAUGUCUUGACAUGAUAGAAGCCUUCAAAGAGUUGGCAGCAAUAAUUGGACAUAUUUUAUUCAAGUGAAUGAACAGUCGCCACAGUAUUCCCGAGAUGACAAGUCAUCACUAGCUAAAAAUAAUCUGCGAAUUAAUUGAAUUACUGAAGUCAUUCAAAGAAGCCACAGAAAACAUAAGCGGGGAGAAGUACUUUACGGCAAGCCUUGUCAUACCGUUGACUAAUAUGUUGAGACAGUAUUUAGUCAAUGUGGAUAUCCGUACCGAAUAUGAUCAGAUGGCUCCUAGAUUGUUAACUGAGAGUGUCAACAAACGACUAGUUCCGUUGAAAAACAUUCUUUGCUAUCUAAAGCCACAGUACUUAAUUCGCGCUUCAAAAGGCUACAUUUUCUAUCAUCUCUUACUACAGCAGAUGCAAUCGAAAAAAUCACUUUAGAGUUACGUAGAAAUGAAAGAAGAAAUGAUGAGAAUAAAAGAAAUAAUAGUGUGGAAAAUACGGUUAGUUUGAUACAUUUUUUGGGGAUUCGUAUCAUGAAUUACUCAUUAUUUUCAGACAAAAAAUACAGUACCACCUAGCGCUUCAUCUUUGUGGGAUAUUCAUGACAAUGUAGUUCUCACUACACUGAUUAGAUUAGAUUAGAUUAGUUUUGAGGUAUGCACCGCGACCUAUGGUCUAUUGUG